rnacentral:rRNA from 1 species
AACGAACGCUGGCGGCAUGCCUAACACAUGCAAGUCGAACGAGACCUUCGGGUCUAGUGGCGCACGGGUGAGUAACGCGUGGGAACCUGCCCUUAGGUUCGGAAUAACUCCCCGAAAGGGGUGCUAAUACCGGAUAAUGUCUUCGGACCAAAGAUUUAUCGCGUUUGGAUGGGCCCGCGUUGGAUUCGCUAGUUGGUAGGGUAAAAGCCUACCAAGGCGACGAUCCAUAGCUGGUCUGAGAGGAUGAUCAGCCACACUGGGACUGAGACACGGCUCAGACUCCUACGGGAGGCAGCAGUGGGGAAUAUUGGACAAUGGGCGAAAGCCUGAUCCAGCAAUGCCGCGUGAGUGAUGAAGGCCUUAGGGUUGUAAAGCUCUUUUACCCGGGAUGAUAAUGACAGUACCGGGAGAAUAAGCUCCGGCUAACUCCGUG